AUCCACGUCUAUACAGAAGCUAACCGGUGUGUUGAUGCAAUGACAAAGAUGAGCUUUCACCAUGAUCCCGGACCUCAAGUUUUUGAAGAAUGUCCGGAGAAAUUGUUUCACUUAAUCAAUAAUGAUAUCUUAUGGGCCUUUACCUCCAUGUAACUUUUGUGUAGUUUUCUUUCUUUGAGCUUUGACCCUCCUCCACCUAAAAAAAAUUGAAAUAAAAAAGGUCAAAA
rnacentral:lncRNA from 1 species